UGUUAAAAAUUUUAUCCAAUUUUACCGUUAAAAACUGGCGUAGCCGAUAGAAUAACUAGACAAUUAUACGUGGCAUGCCAUGUGUAUCACCUCAUUUUGACAUUCAGGGGCCAAUUUUUAACAGUAAAAAUGGAUAGAACUUUUUAACA
rfam:Gossypium raimondii Chr06_contig_1302, whole genome shotgun sequence.